ensembl:misc_RNA Metazoa_SRP Metazoan signal recognition particle RNA
GCCAGGUGUAGUAGUGCAUGCCUGUAGUCCCAGCUACUUGGGAGGCAGAGGGAGGAGGAUCACUUGAGCCCAGGAGUUUGAGGUUGCAGUGAGCUGUGAUCACACCACUGCACUCCAGCCUGGACAACAGAGCAAGAUCCUCUCUCUU